rnacentral:rRNA from 1 species
GUUUAUAGCCAUGCUACCUUGAACAAAGCCUGAUCCUGAUCCUGUUUGAUUUCAGAAGCUAAGCAGGAUUGGGCCUGGGUUAGUACUUGGAUGGGAGAUCACCUAGGAAGACUAGGUGUUGAAGGGA